ACGCCACUGCACUCCAGCCCAAUGACAGUGCAAAGUUCCAUCUCUGAAAAACAAAACAAGACAAAACCUGAUCGGUUUGUAACUUUCUGCUCAACGCCAGUAGUGUAUGAUUCGAGUUAAUUAGCUAACAUGUUCAUGUGGAAUCUUCUUUUCAAACAAAUUCAGGUUGCAGGCCAUUAUGAUUUGUCUCCUCAGGAAUGGCAGCCAUUCCCUCCAGUAAGUUUUUAAGUAAUGGUCAGUAAGAUAUUGAGAGACAAAGGGCAAGAGCCUCAGGCUGCUGUGUUGAGACCAUUCUGUGGAAGGAAAGAACAGAGGAAGGAGGAGGCUCCUGAGAUCAUCCAGGCUUUGACCAGGGUGAUUCUGUGGAGGGGUUGAGAAGUAACUGAAUGCAUUUUGAAGUCGAUACUCCCACCCAAAGUGCCUAAUUUCCAAGUGAUAGAAUGCAUUGCAGAAGAAUCUUUUCCAAAAGCCAACAAGACAGUGAAGAAUUAUGGCGUCAAGAGCAAGAAGAAGAUGGAAGUCCAUGGAGGGAAGCCUGGUAUGUAGGUUCACUUGUCUCCUAAAGGUGACUGCUGAUUUUGAAAGCUGUGGCUUAAAGGAUGGAAACUUAAAAGAGCUGGACAGACUGAUGGAGCUGGGGGACAAAAACUGGGAGGUCAAUGAUUGUUACAGAGUAGGGAUCAUGGUAAAUAUCUCAGGCAGGCAAUUUGGAUCCAGAGGAGCUAUACCUAAGGAUAAUACUGAAUUGGAAGUAUAUCAAUUCUAACAGGAACUGAAACUCAAGCUCAGAUGAUCUCCAAUUGCUGAUUGGAUUAAGGUGUUUUGAGGUUACUUCCUGCCUCUAACAUAGCUGCCUACCAAAAAUGUGUGUAUAUUUUCUCUAGAGGAACAAAGCAUCAUACAGAGUCUUGUGGCAAUUUUCACAUGCAAUAUCUGGCAAUAGAAAACAACCAGGCAGUCCAGGCAUGGUGGUUCACACCUGUAAUCCUAGC